rnacentral:rRNA from 1 species
UGGGGAAUAUUGCACAAUGGGCGCAAGCCUGAUGCAGCGACGCCGCGUGAGGGAUGACGGCCUUCGGGUUGUAAACCUCUUUCAAUAGGGACGAAGCGCAAGUGACGGUACCUAUAGAAGAAGGGCCGGCCAACUACGUGCCAGCAGCCGCGGUAAUACGUAGGGUCCGAGCGUUGUCCGGAAUUACUGGGCGUCAAGAGCUCGUAGGUGGUUGGUCGCGUUGUUCGUGAAAACUCACAGCUUAACUGUGUGCGUGCGGGCGAUACGGGCAGACUAGAGUACUGCAGGGGAGACUGGAAUUCCUGGUGUAGCGGUGGAAUGCGCAGAUAUCAGGAGGAACACCGGUGGCGAAGGCGGGUCUCUGGGCAGUAACUGACGCUGAGGAGCGAAAGCGUGGGGAGCGGACA